rnacentral:rRNA from 1 species
AAAUUGACCUCGGAUCA